UAAGUGUAGUUUAUUAAAAAUUCUA
rnacentral:tRNA from 1 species